CCCUUAGAUGUUCUGGGCCGCACGCGCGCUACACUGACUGGUGCAACAAGUGUCGCUCCUUGGCCGAUAGGCCUGGGCAAUCUUUGAACGCCAGUCGUGAUGGGGAUAGAUUCUUGCAAUUUUUGAUCUUCAACGAGGAAUUCCUAGUAAACGCGAGUCAUCAACUCGCAUUGAUUACGUCCCUGCCCUUUGUACACACCGCCCGUCGCACCUACCGAUUGAAUGGUCCGGUGAACCCUCCGGAUCGGCCCGCGCCAACGCAAGUUGAGCAAAGGCCGAGAAGUUGGGUAAACCUUGCCAUUUAGAGGAAGGUGAAGUCGUAACA
rnacentral:rRNA from 1 species